rnacentral:misc_RNA from 1 species
UCCGGCUUAUCACCGGCGGUUUCCUUAGAGUGCCCAACUAAAUGAUGGCAACUAAGGACGAGGGUUGCGCUCGUUGCGGGACUUAACCCAACAUCUCACGACACGAGCUGACGACAGCCAUGCAGCACCUGUCACUAGGUCCCCGAAGGGAAGAAAUCCGUCUCCGGAAGUCGUCCUAGGAUGUCAAAAGCUGGUAAGGUUCUGCGCGUUGCUUCGAAUUAAACCACAUGCUCCACCGCCUGUGCAGGCCCCCGUCAAUUCCUUUGAGUUUUAAUCUUGCGACCGUACUCCCCAGGCGGAUAACUUAAUGCGUUAGCUGCGCCACCCAAGCACCAUGUGCCCGGACAGCUAGUUAUCAUAGUUUACAGCGUGGACUAC